ensembl:lncRNA
UUCACUGCAGGGCAACCUGCACGUGGCGAUUAAAGCCUUGAUUGAUUGAUUGACAUUAUAAAAGAUGGGUCCAGCUUCUAGGUCUAAAGUGCCUAACUGGGUUGAAACUUGUAACUGGUAGGUUGUUAGCCAAAGAGGUAGCAGUUUUACAGAUGGGUGACAUGACAGUAGCUACGUCCAUCUUUAACAUUCCAAAUAGCUGUCUUCUAAUUUCAGCUUAUAGAAAAAAACAUCGUUUCAUAGUUAUAUCACAACUAGACUUGUAAGGUUUUCACCGUGUGUGUGUGUGUGUGUGUGUGUGUGUGUGUGUGUGUGUGUGUGUGUGUGUGUGUGUGUGUGUGUGUGUGCGGGCCAUCAUUGCAAAAAGGUCCCAGAAACACCUGUCAUGUGCAAUCAACACAAGUAAGCAAUCAUUACAUUCUGACAAAACCUCACCCUCUGUUUCCCAAUAAUUGUGUUACCACUGCUCGCUGCAAACUGUAGUGUGCUGGUGUCUCGGGAUGUGUUGAUUUGAUUCCUUUUUUUUUGUUUUUUGUUUUGGGGGAUUUUUUUUAGUCCACAAUAGCACCUUGCUCUUCUUUUAGCUUUUAUUAACCUGCCUGGUAAAAGUAUCCUAUGGCUUGUGUGUUGUCCAUACCCCUUCAAUAUAUGUCUGGCAAGUCUCUGCAGCCAAUAUUGCUAUGAACAGAGCUUUCCCUGCAGCAUAAAAUGGUUUAAAUCAAAGUGCUUGAUCAUUUACUGCUCUGAUUUGGUGUAAUGUUUCUGAUAAAUCUAUCUAUUUUCUCCAAAAGAUAUCUCGUUGUAAUAUUAAAAAUAUUGUGGACACUAUUGACACAACAGUAAAAGAACAGUAAAAGAGCAUCAAAGUCAAUACAGACCUCAUUACUGAAGUGUCCAACCUUUGAUGAUUGGUUAUUGUGGAAAAACUCUUACUAUAAAAGCAAUAUCAUUGAAGGACGAUGGGAAGGCAGGAGAAGAAAGGACAGAAAGGACAUUUCCAAGUUAGCAAACAUC